rnacentral:rRNA from 1 species
GACGGAGGAUGCAAGUGUUAUCCGGAAUCACUGGGCGUAAAGCGUCUGUAGGUGGUCAAAUAAGUCAACUGUUAAAUCUUGAGGCUCAACCUCAAAAUCGCAGUCGAAACUAUUAGACUAGAGUAUAGUAGGGGUAAAGGAAUUUCCAGUGGAGCGGUGAAAUGCGUAGAUAUUGGAAAGAACACCGAUGGCGAAGGCACUUUACUGGGCUAUUACUAACACUCAGAGACGAAAGCUAGGGGAGCAAACGGG